GGGAUCGAAGAUGCUUAGAUACCAUCGUAGUCUUAACCAUAAACUAUGCCGACUAGGGAUUGGCGGACGUAAUUUAUACGACUUCGUCAGCACCUUAUGAGAAAUCAAAGUCUUUGGGUUCCGGGGGGAGUAUGGUCGCAAGGCUGAAACUUAAACGAAUUGACGGAAGGGCACCACCAGGAGUGGAGCCUGCGGCUUAAUUUGACUCAACACGGGAAAACUUACCAGGUCCAGACAUAGGAAGGAUUGACAGAUUGAGAGCUCUUUCUUGAUUCUUUGGGUGGUGGUGCAUGGCCGUUCUUAGUUGGUGGAGUGAUUUGUCUGGUUAAUUCCGAUAACGAACGAGACCCCAACCUGCUAACUAGACUAGAGUAUUUCACGAGACUUUAGCGCUUCUUAGAGGGACAUUUCGGAUCUACCGGAAGGAAGUUCGUG
rnacentral:rRNA from 1 species